GCAGAGCCACACACUGCGCAGGCCAUUUGCUGCUCCCUCUCAACAGGACUUGGGAGGAUGCCAAAAGGAAUACAUUCUGCUUUAGAUGUGCUUAUCCAGCUCAAGAAGAAACAACUGAAUGAAUGCAUGAAAGGAAGGCAGGACAGAACCUGCUCUAUUCAGAUACUAAAAGAUGAAGAUCACCAAGCAAAAUGUGGAAGCCAGCUGCUUUUCGGGAAAUAAAAAU
rnacentral:lncRNA from 1 species